CUCAUCUCUUCUCCCUGCCAGCCUGCUGUGGUACCAGGCCUCUGGGAUGCUAUCUCUCCACACAGGAUUUAGAUAAUGUAGCUCCUGGGAAUCCUUCUUCUGAAGCAGAAGCACUAUACCAGUACUGGACAAUUAAAGAAUGAAAAGGACAAUCAAACCCCAAAGGAGCUCAGCAUCUUAAUAUGAAGACAGUGAUUUACCAUAUUUCUCUGCCUAAUCCUCUCGAAAACUCUGUAUUAUAAUGGUUACCUGGUAGCAAAAUGAUGGCUAGGGUUCUCUAAGGUUUUUUACUCUCUGUUUGCUGGUAGUAGUAAAUAGAGAUGAGAGCUGAGAAGGAAGAGCCACCAGCAUAGGUGCUAAAUUGCUGCUAAUAGGGAAUGCAAAAAGAUUCUAUUUACAUUGUUAGCAGUCUGGUAGGUUCAUGGAAAAUUAAUUCAGAGCUUUCUGUUGGGAAUGAUAAUCCUGGUGCUGCUCGCACUUAGGAGAUGGGAAGCCUUGAUAUUUCCUUUUCGUUGCUGCAAGAGAGAAGAGCUGUACUUUAUGCAUCUCCUCUGACGAUGCCACAGAGUGGUACUUUCUGUGUCAGGAAGGAUGACAGUACAACAGUUUGGUGCUGUGGAGUAUAUUUAGAAGGUUAUAAAAUGCAUUUAGCCACGGAAACAGAACUACAGCUAUGACUACUGAUAAAGCCUAAAGCUGUCUCAUGCACAGCAAUCUAAGCCUAUAAAUAUACAGAGAAAUUUAUCCCACCUAUUCCUGUCUGCUUCAGUCACAAUUGAAGGGAUUUUAAGAGUUUUCUCUCCAUCAGACUGAUCUUGAAUUUCAGUUGUUGCUGGGACCUGAAGCAUCCACUGUGCUUGUUGGACAAAGCAGAAUCCUGGUGCCUCAGAAAAGCUGGAAUUUCUGUAU
ensembl:lncRNA